UCUCUCACACAAUUUUUAUAAAAAUAAAGUUCCAAUUUUUUUAUAAAAAAAAAACCCAGAAAAGUAAGCUCUCAAAUCCUCCAUUUAAGCUCAGAUCUCUGGGUGAGACACCUGUCGACUCCACCAGCCUAAACAAAGAAGGGGUCUCUCAGUUUCAAGUCACUGCCAAUUUUCCUAAAAAUACCCAACAAUUUUUCCUUAGAAAAAGGGGGAAAAAAGGAAAAUUUAUAUUAAAAUUUAUAAAAAAAAAAUUUAAAGGUUUUCCUUCAUUCAGUGGUAAGAAAACUGAGAUUGGCAAAGAUAAAAAGGAACAUACUUGAACUAUUACACGAGAAAGACUAAUUUUCAAGGCAGUUGCUGUGUCCACACGAGUUGAACUCUCAAAUGAAUUUCAGAAACUUUGAGGAUAUCCCACCAGGAGAAGGCCCUAUGGCUAAGGCACAAGGAAAUUUCACAUUGACCAGACAGCCUUCCAUAUACUCUUUAACCUUUGAUGAAUUUCAGAACACUUGGAAUGGACUUGGAAAGGAUGUCGGUUCGAUGAAUAUGGAUGAACUUCUUAAAAACAUAUGGACUGCCGAAGAGUCUCAGGCUGUAACAUCUGCAGGUGCUGCUACGGGCGGAGCUGGAAUCACGAAUGGUGGGAACUUGCAGAGGCAAGGUUCGUUAACUUUACCCAGGACCAUUAGUCAGAAAACGGUCGAUGAAGUUUGGAAAGACUUGAGUAAAGAGAAUACUAGUGUUAACGAAGGAAAUGGAAUCGAACCAAUGCCAGCUCGACGACAACCGACAUUAGGGGAAGUGACUUUGGAGGAGUUUUUAGCUAGAGCAGGAGUGGUAAGAGAAGAACCUCCACAUAUUGAGGAGCGGCCAUUUAACUGUGGAUUUUAUGGUGGAUUAUCAAGAGAAGACAACAAUGGUAGUUUGGCUCUUGGGAUGUUCAUGGGAAAUCAGAUAACUGAGAACAAAAAUAUGGUUUCUAAUCAGAAUCAAAAUCCAGUGUUUUUAGGGACAGGAGUUGUAAGGUCUUCUCAGCCGCAGCAGCAACAGCAGCCACUUUUUCCCAAACCAGCUAAUGUGACCUUUGCUUCUUCAAUGAAUUUAGUGAACAAUCCCCAGCUUACCAAUGGAUCUGGGACUAAUUUGGUUGUGGCCCCAAAACCUCCUUUGCAUGAUGCAUUAAUUCAAGGCACGGGCAUUGGUGCGAUCGGCUUAGGCACGAGAGGUGUAACUGUUGCUUCAAGAUCUCCUACAAGUACAAUAUCAUCUGAUGUGAUUACAAAAUCCAGCAUUGAGGCGUCUUCAUUUUCACCCGUUCCAUUUUCAUUUGGCCGGGGUCGGCGAAGCAGUGGAGCUCUGGAGAAAGUGGUCGAGAGGAGACAACGAAGAAUGAUAAAGAACAGAGAGUCAGCUGCAAGAUCACGGGCUCGUAAACAGCUUCCCAAGUCUUCUAGUCAAAAUAUUAUGGAUGGAUUCCUUAUAUUAUGCCUGUAAAACUUGCAGCAGCUUCAGUCAAUUGAUGGCUUACACCUUGGAACUUGAAGCAGAAGUUGCAAAACUCAAAGAAAUGAACCAAGAGUUGCAGAAGAAACAGAGAGAGAUAAUGGAGACACAGAAAAAUCAGGUUUUGGAGAAGAUGAAAUAUCAGUUGGGCGGCAAAAGAUUCUGCUUGAGAAGAACACUGACUGGCCCAUGGUAGAGGUGCCAUGAUGAGUUGUCAAAUUUAGUUAUAGUGUCUGAAACCAGCACAGAAGCAGUGUGUAAAAAAAGGCUUAGACUGUGUGUUUCUAAUCUGAUUUCAAGUUUAGAGAUAGAUUGGUAGCUGUAGAUAACGAAGUUCGAGUACCGGUAUGUAGAUAGCUUACAGAAAGCAGAGUUGAGCUAUAUGUUGUAUAAAUGAUCCUUCUGUAUUCUAAUGGUUGUUUGCUUGGAUCUUUGACCUCUGUAUCAUCAAAAUGGUUGUUUAUAGUUUGCCUAACCAUUUCCUCUA